rnacentral:lncRNA from 1 species
AGAAUGUGUGUGUAUGUGUGCAGCGUUUACCCAAAACCGAAAGUGCCUGGUGGGGCAGGUGGCCAUGUUAACAGCCUGGAAACCUUGGGCUACUUUUAACAGCCUGGGGUGCAAAGUGACUCUCUCAGCCUGUCUGGGCCAGCUUCCUUGUUUGUAAGGUGAGAGGGCUAUGCUGUAUCUGUGGCUUAAGAAUGUCUAAUAUUGCAAUUCUUUCUUUUUAUUCUUUUCUCAUAUAUCACAUCCCAACCACAGUUCUCCCUCCCACCCCAUGCCUCCCCGUCUCUUCCUCCCCACCUCUGCCUCUCCUCAGAAAAGAUCAGGUCUCCCAGGGACAUCAACCCACCAGAGUCAUUACAGUAAGACCUAGCACAUAUCAUUACGUCUAGGCUGGACAAGGCAGCCAGUAGGAGGAAAAGGGUCCUACAAGUAGGCAAAAGAGUCAGGGACAGCCCCACCCCCACUGUUAGGAGCUUAUUUUGUUUGUUUUUUUGUUUUUUGUUUUGUUUUUGUUUUUUGUUUUUGUUUUUCGAGACAGGGUUUCUCUGUGUAGCCCUGGCUGUCCUGGAAUUCACUUUGUCGACCAGGCUGGCCUCGAACUCAGAAAUCCGCCUGCCUCUGCCUCCCGAGUGCUGGGAAGGAGCUUAUUUUUUUAAGUAAUAAACUCCUUCUCAAAUGAGGUAAAUACAGGAAUCUACAUACAAGUAGCCACAGGGGCUUUCCCAGCCUUAGGGCUUGCAUGGAGGCUGGACAGGAAGGUACCUGAAGUCCUUCAGGCUGGGAUACUCCCUUGCUGGCUGACUUCUUUUAUUUUGAGCUCUCACGUUCUCUCCUUUAAGCCCUUUAUGCCUCCUGGAGGUGCUGUUCAGUCGGAAGGUAAACUCGCUUUUCCCUGCGGAUGUUCCAUGCCACGGGAGAGUCUUAUUCACAGCACACGGUGUCAUGCGAAGUUCUCGACUUCUCCAGGGUUGCCCUAGGGACGGAUGGCCAGAACUCCCUCUGGCACCCAGGGAAAUCUGCGUGGGCCCCGUGGCCCUCUCAUACUAAGUAGCCACUGUCGUGGGUGGAAGUGGGGAGCAGUUGUCUGGGUGAAUGUUUAAAUGCUUCCCCUGGAAGGAACUGUGUCCUGGGGUCACUUCCAAGCCAAACAGCCAGACUUUGGGGGAGCUGGGAUGGCCCAGUGUGGUAGUACCCACCUGCCAUCUCAGCUUUUGGGAGGCAGAGGCUGGAAGAUUGGGAACCCAAGGCUGUCUUCAAGUGUGUAGUAGAUUCCAAGACCAGCUUGGAAUAUGUGAAGCCCUGUCUGAAUACUGGUUAAAUAACUGGUUGGCUGUUUAAGUCAGUAACUCCAUGGACUGCAGAGGAGUUGGUGGCACUGCAGUAAGAACUCAGCUGCCCUGGGAGCCGCCCCGGCCCACAGAGCCAUCUGGAGGCUUGAGAGGCCCAGGACGGUGGAGGGAGGGGAAAGUUCAGCAGAGGGGGAGGACGCUGUCUCAGGUGAGGUCUUACUAACAUUUUAGACCUUAGAGUUCCUUCCAAGCUUGUUUGGCUGGUCAGCAGGUAACACCUAGGCUCUGCCUGGCCCCAUGAGGGAGGGUCCUUAUGCUUGGAACGAGGUGCAGAGUGCGAGGUAGAAGCUUAUGCAAGUUCUGCCUUCUCCCUUUUCUGGAGCUUUUAAUCCUCUCUCCUUCGUUUAGUGUCCUCUCCACUUUUGAAAACAAUCCAUGGAGCUUUGUCAUCUCAAACGAACCAAACAAGAUAUAAUCUGACUUUUAGCUUUCCUCGAUAUCUGUAGAGGAGAUCCAAGAUGCUUGGGUGUUGUGAUCCGCGACUGUGAAUCUCAGGCGAGAACCUGCACUCCUGCGGGAGGCCCGUAGAAUGCUUGCACAGCCCUUAUUUUGGGCCCUUUUUUCCUCCUUUCACCGGUGGCUGCCAACCUUAGGGGCAUUUGUGGAAGUGAGGGCAUCUCCCAUGCCCCGCAUCAGGUGGACAGUGUUUUCCAGACCCAUUUUCUCUUAGAUCUGAAAGGCCAGCCACCCACUGCAGUCCGCCUGUGCCCCAUUGCGUCUGAACAGCCACAACGAGUCUCUCCUGUCACAGGCUCAGUUAACAGUUACUGACCUCAUGCCAGCUCCAUCUCUCUGAAUGGAAAUUAUAGACUCACCUCAUUCCACAGUGGAAAUCUGACUGUGACUCUAAAUAGAAAAAACACUUAGUCCUCCCUGUCCCAAGUGCUUGGCUGUGUCUCUGUUGGUUUGACUACUGUUGAUUGCCGUUAUGGACUUUCUUGUCCCAUAUAGUUUGUUUUCUAAGCCUCCCCGUCCUACUAGUGGAAUGGGCUGCUUGUUCCUCUGUGCCAUUGUCUGUGGAUGCAGAUAGCAACACGGAUGAGCCUUUUCUGAGACCUACAUUAGGUGACGGUGGCCACACCCAGGGCCUUGUCUUAGGUGACAGCCCCGGUCCUGACUAGCAGCUCUCUCUCUGUGUCCUUAAGUAGCAGCUGGUACAGGACAUUUCUAGUUAAUACAAACUUCCUGUGAGAGCCGAGGCUGCCUCUCUCUUUACCUUCUGUCUCGUUCAUGGUAACCCUUCAGAGGUCAGCCACAGUGAAUGCAAUUAUGUAGGUCUCGAGGUCUAAUGUUUUGUGAACUUGAAAACAAAACUGUAAUAAUGAUUAGAUUUUAAAAAAUAAACAGUGCCAGAGACCUAUGGGGCAGUAUGAAAAUGUCUAGUACAUGUAUAAUCAGAGGUCCAGGAGGACAAGAGAGAGAAAAAAUAUUUGAAGAAAUAACAGCCAGAUGUUCCCCCAGUUUAACAAAAGACAUAAAUUUACAAGUUCAAGACAUUUGCAAACCGAAGCAAAAUAAAUACAGUGAAAUGCACCUAGAUCCCCUGUACUCGGUGCCAAAGCCCCAGAUGACGAAGGAAUAUGUCAGUCAGUCCAAGGAACUGGUGCUGCACGUUCACAAGAGUGGAGUGGCCUUCUCAGAAGCCACACAGUCCAGAAGACUGUAUUUACAGAGUCAGAACUAUGUUUUAUUAUUUUUUAAAGAUUUAUUUAUUAUUAUACAUAAGUACACUGUAGCUAUCUUCAGGCACACUAGAAGAGGGCGCAAGAUCUCAUUAUGGGUGGUUGUGAGCCACCAUGUGGUUGCUGGGAUUUGAACUCAGGACCUUCGGAAGUGCAGUCAGUGCUCUUACCCUCUGAGCCAUCUCUCCAGCCCCUCUACCCCCAGAACUAUGUUUUUAAAGGGCUCAAAGAAAAUAAAGCUGUCGAUCCGGACUGGUACAUAGAACAACACGCUUGUGCAGCAAAGGCCAAUGUUUUCAGAUGAACAGCUGACCAUGGAAGGACAGGAGAGAGCAAGCUCCCGGGAGUGCAGAGGACGCAUGCGUGCCGUGUGGACACUCGGGCCUGGGUGCUGGCGUGCUCUGCACUGGGUGUUAGAACCCUCAGGAGGGCUAGUUGGAAGGGUGGGUCGCUAGGGACGGGCCUUGAGGUUAGAUAGCUUGUACCCACUUCAUCCCACUCUGCUUACUCCUGACACCGUGUGAUCAGCUGCCUCACACUCCUGCUGUCAUGCCCCUCCCCCACCACCUUGUGGGACUGAACCCCAAGCUGUGGCCAAAACCAACCCUUCUUUCUUUAACUGAGUUUGCAGCUAACCCUAGUUACAGCAGCGAGGAACGUACCUAAUCCACAGAGUUUCAGCUGCCAUCUCGGGCGGUCCGCAUGUAGACAUGGUGCCUUAUGUCAGCUCUGGCCUCCUGGACAAUGAUGGGUGCAGUCAGCCAUUGCUGCAUAGCACAUUGCUAAAAGAAGGUAUGAAUUUGGAAUGGAGGCUGUAAUCCCUAGGGUAGCCAUGAAGGUGAAAGAUUCAGGGCAAAACCAAGCUGAGGGGCUGGAGAUGCUCAGCAGUUAAAGGCACUGGCUGCUCCUUCCGAGGACCCAGGUUGGGUUUCCAGAGUCCACGUGAGACUCACCCCCAUCUGUAACUCCACUUCCAGGGAUCAAAUGCCCUGUUCUGACUCCUGAGGGUACCAGGAAUGUACAUGGUUUGCAUUCCUUUGGAAGCUCUGGCCACUAGUUGAGUGGCCUGACCUCAGUUAUUUUUCUACAUAGACCCCAUAUCGGGAUAUUAUAUAGUAUGUAAACUGUAGCAUAUACUUACAAUGGAGCUACAAAAGGAAAAACAACCAGGCCAUGGAGGCGGUCCAUGGUUCCAAGUGCUUACCACCAUCCAUGAGAGUUCAGUUCCAGGGGCCCACAUGGAAUUGGGUAGGAGGAGAGACCAGACUACCAAAAAUUGUUGUAUAUUGUCCACAUACAUGCCACAGCACAUACACGCCAUACAUGUUACAUACAAACGUACACACACAGAGAGAUUAAUACAUGUGACAAAACAAAGAAAAUUACUCAGCAAUUAAGGUUCAGGCUGAUACAUACAUUUGGUUGGUGUGAAUUCACAAACUUGAGGCAGAGCCAGAAACACAGUGUGGCUCCAUUGAAUAACCCAAGUCCUGGAACAGGUUGGAAGAACUCAGGGUGGUUGGCUGUGGAUCAGGGAGUGGUGGUCAGCAGGGAGGUCACAGGGUACCUGCUGAGGUCUGUAGGUCUUGCUGACACCGGGUGUCCAUCUGUUCAAGUCCAGCAGACCUGGGAAUACCACAGAUAGCCAAUUUUACAUAAGAACUAAAGUGCUGGGCUGUGGUGGGUAAACUGAGGCACUUAACGACAGGGACACUGAACUGGUGGCCUGUCUAUGGUUGCGUUGAAAUGGGGGAGUCGGUAAGACGGACGGAUGACUGUAUGGAUCCAUGGUUGGUGUGCACUAAAGCAAGUGUUUAUAGGCCGUAGAGUCAAGGUGGCUGGGACGGGGGCGGAGGGGGUUGUUCAUGCCAAAAUCCAACCUUGUAAUGUGUAAAUAUUUUUAUAAUGAGAAAAUCACCAUGGAGGAUUUUUUUAAAGUAGGGCAGUGAUACUAUAUUUAAAAC